CCAAGUUUUUAAGGGCGCACGGUGGAUGCCUUGGCACCAGGAACCGAUGAAGGACGUGGGAGGCCACGAUAGGCCCCGGGGAGCUGUCAACCGAGCUUUGAUCCGGGGGUGUCCGAAUGGGGAAACCCGGCAGUCGUCAUGGGCUGUCACCCGCUGCUGAACACAUAGGCAGUGUGGAGGGAACGCGGGGAAGUGAAACAUCUCAGUACCCGCAGGAAGAGAAAACAACCGUGAUUCCGGGAGUAGUGGCGAGCGAAACUGGAUGAGGCCAAACCAGUCACGUGUGAUACCCGGCAGGGGUUGCGUGGUUGGGGUUGUGGGAUCUCUCUUUUGCAGUCUGCCGGCUGUGAGGCGAGUCAGAAACCGUUGAUGUAGGCGAAGGACAUGCGAAAGGUCCGGCGUAGAGGGUAAGACCCCCGUAGCUGAAACAUUAGCGGCUCGUUUGAGAGACACCCAAGUAGCACGGGGCCCGAGAAAUCCCGUGUGAAUCUGGCGGGACCACCCGUUAAGCCUAAAUAUUCCCUGGUGACCGAUAGCGGAUAGUACCGUGAGGGAAUGGUGAAAAGUACCGCGGGAGCGGAGUGAAAUAGUACCUGAAACCGUGUGCCUACAAGCCGUGGGAGCGUCGCGCAGAGAACUUGUUCUUUGCGUCGUGACUGCGUGCCUUUUGAAGAAUGAGCCUGCGAGUUUGCGGUAUGUUGCGAGGUUAACCCGUGUGGGGAAGCCGUAGCGAAAGCGAGUCCGAAUAGGGCGUGGAGUAGCAUGCUCAAGACCCGAAGCGGAGUGAUCUAGCCAUGGGCAGGUUGAAGCGGAGGUAAGACUUCGUGGAGGACCGAACCCACCAGGGUUGAAAACCUGGGGGAUGACCUGUGGUUAGGGGUGAAAGGCCAAUCAAACUCCGUGAUAGCUGGUUCUCCCCGAAAUGCAUUUAGGUGCAGCGUCGUGUGUUUCUUGCCGGAGGUAGAGCACUGGAUAGGCGAUGGGCCCUACCGGGUUACUGACCUUAGCCAAACUCCGAAUGCCGGUAAGUGAGAGCGCGGCAGUGAGACUGUGGGGGAUAAGCUCCAUGGUCGAGAGGGAAACAGCCCAGAGCAUCGACUAAGGCCCCUAAGCGUGUGCUAAGUGGGAAAGGAUGUGGAGUCGCAGAGACAACCAGGAGGUUGGCUUAGAAGCAGCCACCCUUGAAAGAGUGCGUAAUAGCUCACUGGUCAAGUGAUUCCGCGCCGACAAUGUAGCGGGGCUCAAGUACACCGCCGAAGUCGUGUCAUUGCGAUAUUACUCCUAACGGGGAUCGUGAUGGGUAGGGGAGCGUCGUGUGCCGGGUGAAGCAGCCGUGGAAACGAGUUGUGGACGGUUCACGAGUGAGAAUGCAGGCAUGAGUAGCGAUACAAGAGUGGGAAACUCUUGCGCCGAUUGACUAAGGGUUCCUGGGUCAAGCUGAUCUGCCCAGGGUAAGUCGGGACCUAAGGCGAGGCCGACAGGCGUAGUCGAUGGACAACCGGUUGAUAUUCCGGUACCCGCUUUGAAGCGCCCAAUACUGAAUCAGGCGAUGCUAAGUCCGUGAAGCCGCCCUGAUCUCUUCGGAGUUGAGGGGAGUGGUGGAGCCGACGGACCAGACUUGUAGUAGGUAAGCGAUGGGGUGACGCAGGAAGGUAGUCCAGCCCGGGCGGUGGUUGUCCCGGGGUAAGGGUGUAGGCCGUGUGGUAGGUAAAUCCGUCGCACGUUAAGGCUGAGACCUGAUGCCGAGCCGAUUGUGGUGAAGUGGAUGAUCCUAUGCUGUCGAGAAAAGCCUCUAGUGAGUUUCAAGGCGGCCCGUACCCUAAACCGACUCAGGUGGUCAGGUAGAGAAUACCGAGGCGUUCGGGUGAACUAUGGUUAAGGAACUCGGCAAAAUGCCCCCGUAACUUCGGGAGAAGGGGGGCCAUUUCUGGUGAGGGAACUUGCUUCCUGAGCUGGGGGUGGCCGCAGAGACCAGCGAGAAGCGACUGUUUACUAAAAACACAGGUCCGUGCGAAGCCGUAAGGCGAUGUAUACGGACUGACGCCUGCCCGGUGCUGGAACGUUAAGGGGACCGGUUAGCUUGGAUUCGUUCAGGCGAAGCUGAGAACUUAAGCGCCAGUAAACGGCGGUGGUAACUAUAACCAUCCUAAGGUAGCGAAAUUCCUUGUCGGGUAAGUUCCGACCUGCACGAAUGGCGUAACGACUUCUCGACUGUCUCAACCAUAGGCCCGGUGAAAUUGCAUUACGAGUAAAGAUGCUCGUUUCGCGCAGCAGGACGGAAAGACCCCGGGACCUUUACUAUAGCUUGAUAUUGGUGUUCGGUUCGGCUUGUGUAGGAUAGGUGGGAGACUGUGAAGCGCCAACGCCAGUUGGUGUGGAGUCGUUGUUGAAAUACCACUCUGGUCGUGCUGGAUGUCUAACCUGGGUCCGUGAUCCGGAUCAGGGACAGUGUCUGGUGGGUAGUUUAACUGGGGCGGUUGCCUCCUAAAGAGUAACGGAGGCGCCCAAAGGUUCCCUCAGCCUGGUUGGUAAUCAGGUGUUGAGUGUAAGUGCACAAGGGAGCUUGACUGUGAGACUGACGGGUCGAGCAGGUACGAAAGUAGGGACUAGUGAUCCGGCGGUGGCUUGUGGAAGCGCCGUCGCUCAACGGAUAAAAGGUACCCCGGGGAUAACAGGCUGAUCUUCCCCAAGAGUCCAUAUCGACGGGAUGGUUUGGCACCUCGAUGUCGGCUCGUCGCAUCCUGGGGCUGGAGUCGGUCCCAAGGGUUGGGCUGUUCGCCCAUUAAAGCGGUACGCGAGCUGGGUUUAGAACGUCGUGAGACAGUUCGGUCCCUAUCCGCUGUGCGCGUAGGAGUCUUGAGAAGGGCUGUCCCUAGUACGAGAGGACCGGGACGGACGAACCUCUGGUGUGCCAGUUGUUCUGCCAAGGGCAUGGCUGGUUGGCUACGUUCGGAAAGGAUAACCGCUGAAAGCAUCUAAGCGGGAAGCCUGCUUCGAGAUGAGGGCUCCCUCCUCCUUGAGAGGGUAAGGCU
rnacentral:rRNA from 1 species